UCAGAAGUAGAAAAAAAAUUAAUUUGUCACAUUACUAUUGUCAUAUUAUUACAGUAAUAAAUUUCAUUCAACCAGAACACUUAAGGCGUUCAUGAUGAAAGGUGAUACCAAAGAAGGUUCUGAACAAGGUUCUGAAGCUAAAAACAACAAUAAAGGGGAAAAAAAUCCAGUAUUAAUGAAGUUUAUUCUAUUCGGAUCAAUUGUGGCAGUUCUAAGAGCAAUGCCACUGGUAAUCCAACUUUGCAAGGAUAUGAAUCAGUAGUGUUGCUGAUUACAUUGUGUGUUUUGUAUUGUGAACAUUUUUAUAUAAUAUACACAACUUUAUCAUGUAAUAUCACAGUGAAUAAAGUUUGAAUAAAAAAUCACUAAAUA